rnacentral:rRNA from 1 species
UGGUGGCUAUAGCUAGGGAGUAACACCCGAUCCCAUUCCGAACUCGGUCGUGAAGGCCCUAUGCGCCGAUGGUACUUCGUCUUAAGGCGCGGGAGAGUAGGUCGUUGCCA